GAUGAACGCUAGCGGCAGGCCUAACACAUGCAAGUCGAGGGAGGAGCUUUCGGGCUUCGACCGGCGUACGGGUGCGUAACGCGUAUACAAUCUGCCUUUCACAUAGGGAUAGCCCGAAGAAAUUUGGAUUAAUACCUAAUGGUAUAUAGAGGUGGCAUCACCUUUAUAUUAAAGCUGAGGCGGUGAAAGAUGAGUAUGCGUUCUAUUAGCUAGUUGGAGAGGUAACGGCUCCCCAAGGCGACGAUAGAUAGGGGUUCUGAGAGGGAUAUCCCCCACACUGGUACUGAGAUACGGACCAGACUCCUACGGGAGGCAGCAGUGAGGAAUAUUGGACAAUGGUCGGAAGACUGAUCCAGCCAUGCCGCGUGCAGGAAGACGGCCUUAUGGGUUGUAAACUGCUUUUGCAGGGGAAGAAUAAGGACUACGCGCAGUUUGAUGACGGUACUCUGCGAAUAAGCAUCGGCUAACUCCGUG
rnacentral:rRNA from 1 species